AGAACGAACGCUGGCGGCAGGCUUAACACAUGCAAGUCGAGCGCCCCGCAAGGGGAGCGGCAGACGGGUGAGUAACGCGUGGGAACAUACCCUCCGGUUCGGAAUAGCUCAGGGAAACUUGGAUUAAUACCGGAUACGGCCUAGCGGCGAAAGAUUGAUCGCCGGAGGAUUGGCCCGCGUCUGAUUAGCUAGUUGGUGGGGUAAUGGCCCACCAAGGCGACGAUCAGUAGCUGGUCUGAGAGGAUGAUCAGCCACAUUGGGACUGAGACACGGCCCAAACUCCUACGGGAGGCAGCAGUGGGGAAUAUUGGACAAUGGGCGCAAGCCUGAUCCAGCCAUGCCGCGUGGAUGAUGAAGGCCUUAGGGUUGUAAAGUCCUUUUAACGGGGAAGAUAAUGACGGUACCCGUAGAAUAAGCCCCGGCUAACUUCGCGCCAGCAGCCGC
rnacentral:rRNA from 1 species